ensembl:lncRNA
AGGGCUUCAAAGCAGACCUGAAGGAAAUGAUGCAGCAGAGUGCUGGGGAUCCACGUUGCUCAUUACUGCUUUUUGGGACAAGAGAUUACAAAAGAUACUGGUGUUUAAAAGUGGCAAAUGGCAGAGCUGCAGCGUGACUGGCCUCAACACUUGUGCAGGCUGUGGGAGUAUGACUCUGUUGUUGCUCAACUGCUUCACGUGAUGUCUGCAACCUCCAAAGAACCAAUCCAUGGACACAAAUAAAUAUUCCUUUUGGCAAUGACAUAACAAGCCAAAGCCCGAGAAGCAAACAGUCAUGGUAUCUUCCACCUAGAGAGGAAUACACACACAGCCAGAGAAUAACUGGGGCUCUCACCCAGCCUCACUUCAUUGGGCAGAUGCAUCACAACUGUGUUGGCUUCUGCCCCAGAAGCUGGCCACACUCUCCUCCUUGUUUCAGAUCAGUGCCGGGCAGCCCAGGGUGCCUGAUGAAUCAAUUAAGAGUUACCUGCAUUAUUCUAGCACUUCUCUCUGUAGGCCACUAUUGCAACACAGCAAUUUAUUUCUUGCAUUGCUUUUUCAGCCACUUUGUCAGCAUAAGCAAGCACUGGAUAAGUCUUGUUUCUUUUUACUUCUGAAGGCAAGAAUACAACAUGGUAUCUCCUUGUCAGGAUAACAGAGCUAAGUUGCCAGCCAAUUGUACCUUUGGAGAAAUGUCUGAGUACUGCAGAUAUUGCAUAUUAGCUGGAAAUUGAAUCUGCAGCACACAAAUGAUUCUUCCAUAACAUCCUUCAGGGUGACAUCCUUCAGCUUCAUUUUCACAAACUGGGCACGUUUGUGCUUUCAGUUCCACCAGCUGUGUACUUGAACCCAACUCUGCUGCUUGUAUCAGAAUGGUCUUAUUUGUGUCACUUCCCCUGGAGAGGUCUGAGGUGCCCAUCUGGCUAACCCUCCAGCAAAAUGGAAGGAGACUUCUUCCACAUCACUGUUUUCAAAAGCAAACAAUUUCUGGCAAUGUUACCUUGAAUUACGUUAAACAAACACACUGCCAUUCAUACCUCAAUAUGGCUUAUUUUGCCUGAUCUUGUUAGUUAUUACAAUUGCCAUGAAAGAAAGAUCAUGAAAAUGCCUGGAAAAAUACCGCAGAAAAGGACUUAGUACAAGCCCUCCAAGAAUACCUGAGAACAAAUCUACAUUAGUUGCGACACUGUAAGUGCAGAAUGACUUUAGGGUGUCCUCAUGCAUAUGUACAGAAUGUAAACAGGAAAUGCUGGACUCUUUGGCAAUCUGCUGAGAAGGCUGUCCAGAUCUUGACAGCACUUGGAUACCUUCCAUAGAGAGUUUCGCUGCUCAUCAGCAAGCAACGUCACCCUGAGAAGGCACAUACAGCCCAUCAGGCCCAGGCAAGGGAGGGAAGUGUGGUGAUACCCUGGUGAUGCAGGAGAUCUGGUAGUACCCACUCCUGACUCUGCCACAUGUUUUCUUUCUGUCCUGGGAUGGGUGAUAGAUGCAAUGUCUCUGUUCAGUAGUGAUGAGGAUAUCUGCCUUCCUGAGAGGAGGCUGGAAGAAGUCAUUACACCUUUCCGUUUUCCAUCCCCCAUCACAUCCUUCCCUCCACAGGAGUGAAGUAGUCCAACUCCUCACUUUGCUGUAGGUAUUUGCUAUAACUUGAGAAGCGUAAAAGACUAGAGACAAAAUAUCGGAGUUCAAACCAGUGCAUUUUGGACUGCUCAAAGCAAUGUGGUAAUGCAGAGGCCUGAGCAGACUCAGGUGCCAGUGUUUGCUUCAGCAAGGAGGUGGAUCGCACCAUCUCCACCCCUGAAGUGAUGGUCUGGUACAGAAGACCUGUAACACUUAGAAAUUAUAAGCGUGCUACUCAGGAUAUAAUUAAUAUUAACUAUUCUUCAGUCUGAAUACGAGUGUAGUAAAAUAGUGCAACCAACACAGUAUACGAGCUCUCCUUUUAAUAAUGUGAUGGCAUAUAAACUCGUUGGUAGUUUCACUGCCAAAGGGACAAACAAUAAGGGUAGCUGCUUGUAGAAUAGACAAAAUGUUGCCAAAGGACAAGGUAAGUGCAAGGGACUGCAAAUACACAGGACAUCCCGCCAGAUACAAAAGAAUGACUGGCAUGAUGAAUAAAUAAGUAGUAGGAGCAGAGAAGACCACCCCUUUUGGAAGGGAGGUGAAAGAGGUGAAACUUGAAGCUCAAAGAGGAAAGGCAAGGAAGAGAGAGAUAGACAACUUUGGUGCUCAUCAAAGAGCUCUCAAAGGCUG